GAAACGAAUCUCAUUAUAUAAAUUUAUCCACCCAUAUCACCAAUUGCAUUCACAAGCAUCCCAUUCGCACAUUUAACAUACUUAGUGACAAAUCGAGUGUUCUAGUUAGCAUGAACAAAAACCAUGAGUUCACAGCUGAAUCAAUUCAGACAAUUUCACAAAAGAUACAAAUGAUUAAGAAAUUAUCCUAAAAACUACAAGAAAGUUUUCCUAUUAAGCUAAAAUAUAUACAUAAUCUAUAAUAUUUGUUCACUUAAAGACUAAUUCAUCUGUAGUUUCUCCUGGGUCUUGGAAUGCACUCCUUUUCUAAAUCUUCGGAUACCUGAAAAAAGAAAGAUAAAGUUAGAACUUUUAGAACAUAAGCUUUCAGUCUAGUGUAAGAAGAAAUGGUGUCAGUUCACUACCACGUCAUUCUUCAACUAUGUUGUAUGAAUCAUGUGGGAGGUCACUGCCAAUAACUCUUCCAUUCAGACCAACCUAAAACAAGAAUAUGAUAAUAAUAUAUUAAUGCUCAUAAUAGAAAGAGAUGUGGCGUAGAUACCAACUUCAUCACUUCCCUCGGUUACAAAUUCAUUUCUCCAAUCCUCUCUAGGGAAUUUGUGCUUAGGAAUGAACUCAUCAUAGCCAUCUCAUCUGUCAUGUUUUCUACAUUAUCACCUAGUGCCAGCAGUGCAAACUAAACAUUUUCUCCUUUAUCAGAAUGUUGAACAACAGUCAAUCCCUAAGAGACUUUUAUUUCACUCCAAUGCUUAGCACCAUAAUACCCUCGAAGUUGUUUCGCUUCUUCCCAUGCAUGCACACUUUUAAAUACUUCUCUACAAUCUUCCAAUGGAAGGAUCCUAAUGUUAUCUUCUGUUUUGUUUUUCCAGUUACUCCUGUUGUUGAGAUAAAUAUAAAAAUCUCAUUAUAUUAAGUAUUAAAUUAAAACCUUCCCUUUAAUCGCAAGCACAAGUAUACCAUCACUUUCUUCCUAAGAAAGCACUAAUUUUUUAGAGGGCUUUGUAAAUUUUCUUCAUCUACUUGUACACUAUCAGUAGCCUGCACUGAGAUAUUAACGCUCAAAGUCGUCGCGGUACCCACAAGAAUGUUAAAAUCAUAUGUUAAUCAACAAGCUAAUGACAGGUAAACGUGUCCAUAGAAAUGCAUGUCUAGGUCAUGCAUUUCACUACAUUAAAUAAUAGUAAAAAACUUAGAUUUUUGCAUUCGUAGAACAAGCAGAACAUAUGAUUUUUGUCCUCCAAAAGUUUCCAAUCAGAAUGGCACGAAUCAUGGUACUGCUAUGCUUCUAUGCAGAAAAAAAAUCUUAAACACAAGAAACUCCACAUAUGUGUAUUCGCAUUGCUAAUUAACUUUUCUUGUUGGGGACUACAUCUCUUAAAUUAUUGAUUUUUUUUUCAUUUCUACUAGAAUUAAUUGCUCGCUAUUCACUUUACUUUUGUACAUGAAUAUUAGCCAUAGCCUCAUUUUGCUGUAGAUAAGUGCUGAAAAUACAAGAGGUACACGUACUAGUUACCGUUAAUUUUUGUAUAGAGUUUGCACACUAUCUUAAGAUGGGAAGUAAUAUAAGCUCGCUACUGUCGGGGGUGGAGGAGCUGCUGUAGGAGCUUUGUGUGCUCUGGAGCGAGUAGAGAUAGCAAGCAGUGAAACAAAGAAGCCGUGUUGUGAGCAUUUAUCUGGAAUGGCAGCGGUGCAUAAAAACCUGAGAACUUGACUAACAAUAAACGAUCAAUAGAAAACUACAGAGACGUCACAAUUUCCUGCACCGGUAGUGCCUUCUAAGUUAAGUUCUAUUUGUUACUGGAUUAACAUAAGUUCUUAACAGCCCAAAGGAGGACAAUGUAAGUUCAUGGAAUCAGAGCAAAGCUACUUAAGCACAUUGCAAUUUAGGUCUUCAAUGCCAUCGGUGUGAGACUGGCGGUAUUAUCUCAAGUUCUUAACAAUUGAAAAGGAGGACAAUGGAAAUUCUUGGAGUCAGAGCAAAGCUAUUGAAGCACAUUGCAUUUUAGGUAUUCAAUGACAUAGCUGUGGAGACUGAUGACAAACUGAAUUGGAGAACUAUUGUUAUCAGUACUUUUGGCUUGUUUAGCGUUUUUCUUUCGCAAGUCUGAUAAGAUCUGUACUUGGUGAUUUUGGGACACCUGCAAUGAGGUGACUAGGUGUUAUGUUUUGGUCAAUAAUGGAACAAGAAAACUUUAGUUGGCUUGGGCUAUUUAGUACUAUACCGGCAAGUGUCAUUUUUCAUCACAAAGAAUGUCUUGGGGCAACAAAUCACUUAAGACCAAUAGCAUAUUGUUACAACAUAAGCCCACAAAAUGUUUUGUAAAUAGUCUACAAAAUAUAGUUUAGCCAGUACAAAACACUAUUUGGAUGUUCAACCCAGGUAACUACAGAUUGUUUUCAUAAAUAUGCUGCUUACAUCUCUAUCAUAAGCCCAACGAGAAAGCAGUAUCAUGUAGCUUACUCUGAAAAGUUAGAGCCAUGAUAGAUUUUGGACAUUGUCGAGAUGGCUUCUGAUUCAUCAACGGUUCACCAUAAGGAUCAACCUGAUGAAAAUUACUUUAAUCACUAUUUUCUAUUUGUCCGAGCAAUAACCAUGUGAACUAUAGACCAUUCUCAAUAAAGCAAUGUCAUUCAUUUUCAAUUAAAUUAAACAUCAUGUGUGUUAUGUUAUGCUCCAAAUGCUAAUAUAAAGAGGAAGGCCAACUUCUGACGAGCGAGCGGAGCGACGCCUGUCGCCGAUACGGAUCAGGGUUGACCUAUGACACAUGUGUUAUAUAUACCUCUUGUAAGCCGCCGCACAUGAUAAGUGAUACAUCCCUAACGUAUCUAUAAUUUCUGCUUGUUCCAUGAUCUUUUGGGUGACAAUGUUACAUGUUUUGCAACACUUUUAUAUCAUUUUACACAUAUUUGGACUAACCUACUAACUCAGCGCACCCAGUGCCAGUUUCUGUCUGCUGAUGUCUAUUUUGCAGGGGCUUUUACCCAAUUUUCCAAAUCCUGAAAAAAUCAAGAAAAAAUAUUACAAAAAUCAGCGAAACAGAAGCUUCGGGAUCACCGAAGGAGGGCCAGAGGGGGGCCAGGGGCCUCCCAGGCGGCCUGCUGGCGUGGCCAGGCCCUAGGCCGCGCCAGGAGGUCGCCUGGGUGGGUCCCACCUCCUCCAGUGCCCUCCUUCGCAGACUUUAGUGUUCCGUGAGGAAACCCUCGCAAACUUUCUCGAAUCGCGAAUUUCUCCAUUGUUUCGCCGCCACAACGCUUCAAAGAUCGGGAGCGUCAAGAGACCUCUUCCCGGCACCGUGCCGGAGGGAGGAUUGACCUACAGGAGCUUCUCCACCGCCAUGGACGCUUCCUGGUCGUGCCGUGAGUAGUCGUCCUUGGACCAUGAGUCCAUGACCAGUAGCUAUGUGAUGUCUUCUCUCCAAUCUUGUGCUUCAAUGGUUAUUCCUUGUGAGCUACCCUAUAUGAUCAAGGCAUCUAUGUAAUUCUCUUGCUUUUUCUAUGCUCGGUUUGUUGGGAUCCGAUGGAUUAUGAGAUUAUGUUUAGAUUGUUAUGAGUUAUAUAUUUGAUUAUCCUUUUAUAUUAUGUUGCUUAAUGAUUAUUGCAUGUUCUUCGUUGCUUUUUAUUGCUUUCGCCAAGUAGUAUAUCGUAACUCCAAGAGGGAGCAUUAUGAAGGAUUGUGGGUUCGGGUCCCUCGAUGUCUAGUUUGACUGACAGAAACAUGAGACUAGGGGAUGUGCUUGUUGCCACAAGGGAGAAAACAACGAUGCUUGUGACCACGGUUGCAAGGAUUGUUUAUCUUACGCAUAGUUCGUUAAUGCAGUUGUCCGUUGCUUUGAGUUUACACUUUGGGUGUGGCUCACAACUUAAUACCGGAGAGAUGUUCUGGAUAGAUAUCUUAAGGUGGAUGAUUAGUAAGUAUAUGCUGAUGAAUAAACGGUCUACUUGUCUUGGCGUACUGCCAUUACUAUUCAAGCUCUAACUAUCAAGGAACAUAAUUGGCAUUGCGGUGCGAUCAUAAUUCUGUCAAUUGCCCAACUGUGAUUGUUUAUCCUAGCAUAGUUGUUUAUCGUCUUUUGGGAGAGAGACAUCACUAGUGAACAUCAUGUGACUCCGGUCCAUAUCACCAUCAUUGUUUACACCUCCAUCAUUUACCGCUUUCAUUUUCUUUUCCGUUGCAAUCACUAUUACCUUUCCGCUUGUGUUUUGAUCAUUUGCAAACUACAAGGCCAGAGAGAUUGACAACCUCUUUAUACUCGUUGGGAGUAAAGUUAUUUGUUGUGUGUGCAGGUCCACGUCUUCCGUUAGUGCCAGGGUGAAAGACACCUACUUGUUGAGCCUAGGAGUCCUCCUGGUUCGAUAAACCUUACAGUCUCCGUGUAAGGGAAAUUUGUUGCUAACUACAUCUCCACCUUCCUUUUGGGGUAUCCAACAAGGGGCGAGAAGUAUAUACAUCAACUCGUCAUCAUUAAGUCGAUCAAUUGUAAUCCCCGGCGUUUGUAACCUUUCCCGAUCAUAGUGAAGUUUGGCUGGCUGGCGCGUGUGAUUUUUUCCCCUUCGUCUUGGAGGGGGUUUCCACGUUUAAAUCUUGUGUCCUUUUUCUUGGUUACAUUCUUCAUUGUAUCGAUUGCGUGUCGUAUCUCUAACAAUGCCAGUUGUCGUAAAUUCAUAAUUCUUAUGUGAUGGAUUAUCUCCAGAUAUAACCCCUUUCGGGAUGGUGGAUUUUAAUACAUAUCUUUUCUUGACUGUCGGUAAUGAAAAUUAAGAGAAGUCAUGGCAAAAACUUGUUGUUAGGUCUGUGAGGGUGACAUAGAAUACUUGAUGUUAGGUCUCUGAGGGUAACAUAGGACACCAAACAGUUGCUGACAUAUUUUACCUUGCCAGGAUUGAUUUCGAGGCAAGCAAACAAUUCACCAAACACUUAGAGUGCAUUGCCUACUUGCAGAAGUAAGGAGACGAGCUGGAGGUAUUGAACUUAGGAAUGAGAACCAAUAGGAAUAUAGGCUUGACAUGCACCAAUGAACGAGGCCAUCUUGAUUGAUUUCAUGGUAAAAACGGUAGAGGAUAUGGGAUUCCAGGGAUUACCUGUUGACGUGCUGAAGGCUGACGAUGCUGGAUGAAGGGGAGAUGCGGGGAGGUGUAGUGAAAGAACACGCCGCUGAUAAUCGUCCUGGAUGCGCCUUGGGGACGGUGAUGAUGACAUGAAGAGGAGACGUUGUUUGUGACGGCGAGGAGUGAGGACUAUUGAUGCUGACGGGGCUCCAAGGAUGCAUCUACUGAGAUUGCCGAUGGAGGAGAACAGGCAUCAGCAGCCGGUGGAGCUUAUGGUGGAGGGGAUUGCUUCUUAGUUAAGGUUGCCGCCUUGUGGGUGCAUGAAUGGGUGGCGUGCUGGUUGUGUGAUACCGGCGUAGAUUGGAAUCCACAGGUUGAAGAAACGGGGAGCUGGGGAGAUGGGGGAGAUGGUUAUAUGGGCAAAUAUAGGAGCGAAGAAAAUCACAGACGGGAAGUAUUAGGCGAUAAAAUAAAUAAUUCGGAGCGCCAAAAUUUGUUAAGCCGAAAUUGUCGAGGAACACCAAACGAAG
rnacentral:lncRNA from 1 species